CAAAAACAAAAUAAUGGCCUUCAAAACGAAGAACUAUGGUUUAGAAAUGAAGCAUUUGCCCAACCAAAGCAGUUCAAGUAUCAUGGUUCAAACUUAAUGUAUCCACCGUUAGAAUGUGCCGCACUAAUAAGAAACAACCAUCUCUCAACUUUUUCAGUUUCAACUUGCAAACACAAAGGAAAAUAAGAGACCAAACCUGAAGGAUUAGUCUUCUUAUGCCUGUGAAGCCAGUCCUUUCCACAACAUUCUUUCUCCUCAGAAACACACAAAGACGCCAUACUGUCCACUCUUUACCUUCCUGUUCUAUCUUAAUGUUUUUGGCAAAAUGGAAAGAUGAAAUCAUGACACCAAGUACACAAAAGUGAUCAAGUAUCCAAAUCAUUAUUAGCACAUCAACCCACUAAAUAUGUACAAAUCCAGUAAAUUAGAGAAACUAGGGCUGGGGUGUGGCUCAGUGGUAGGGUACUUGGCUAAUGUGAGAGGCCCCAAAUUCCAGCCCCAGCAUAGGGCAGGGGGUAGGGACGCACCAUUACUCUGUGAGACAAGUCACUUCCCUUUGCUCCAUUUAAGAGACUUCUUCUGUUUUGUAUCUUGACAUAGUUAUGAGAUACCUUUCAUAACCUGGACAAUUGCAACAAUAAAGAUUCAGGCAAGAGUUCUUAAAAAAAUAAAUUUAGGAGAAGCCAACACUUUAAACACUCAUAAAAAAAAAAAAGGAUGUUUUGAAUUUAAAUGAUUUUAUAGUAUUACCAUAAUUGUAAAAGAGCUGCUUUUCAAAAGAUAUAUAUAGGGGCUGUGGUUGUAGCUCAGUGUUAGAGUGCUUGCCUAGCAUGAGAAAGGCACUGGGUUCAAUCCUCAGCACUGCAUAUAAAUAAGUAAUUAGGGACAGGGUUGUGGCUCAGUGGUACAGCACUUGCCUAGCAUGCGUGAGGCACUGGGUUUGAUCCCCUGCACCACAUAAAAAUAAACAAAUAAAAUAAAG
rnacentral:lncRNA from 1 species